UUUCAACUGGUUUUUACAGAUGUUUUUAAACAGAUGGAACCUGUAGCAGAACCAUUGGUUUGUUCAGCAGAGUUCUUCUGCAGAUCGCGUUAAAGAAAGUUGAGUUUAGAAAAUAUUCUAACAUUCUCCGUCUUGUUGACCAACCAUGCUGAUCAACAACCUGAAGAUGAACUUUGCAGACGUUCAAAGGGUGUAAAUACUUUUGUGGGAGGCUCUAGCUCUUUUGCUAGCAGCACUUAAAUGCUAAUUAUAUAGCUACUAACUAUUAGCGUUGUUAGAGAUGGUCGCCUCCCGUCACUCACCGAAUGUCGAGCCUCUCAUUCAGUGGAGUGAAGCGGACGUGUCCGGGAUUAUCCGUCCAUCAAGCUUCUCAAUGGAUUUUGGAAACUGAUAGUACCCCCCCUCACCCCCCACCCAGACAGACAAAGCUCAGUUUGGCCCGUCAACUCCUGGACAUCUCCAAUCAGUCUUCCUCUGCAGCCUUGUGAAAGGGAUCCUUUUUGGCAGAGAGGCGGGAAUUAAGUGGGGGUCAGAGAGCACAGUGGGUCAGACAGCCAGCGUAUUAUCAGGCCUGUCAGUCUUACAAACUAUCUGCUUCGACUCACUUUGGCGUGUCAUGGCUGCAGUUUGUUUUGGUUUUUUUCACAAUCCAAAGCCCAACAAUAGGAGAAAAAAGUCUCAGUUUUGUAUCAUUCUCUUAAAUGAAAGUUGGUAACCAUGUUGAAUUUGUUUUCUUAUGGGGUAUUUUGUGAUGGAUUAAAUGUUUCUCUGUGCUCUGCUGCCCC